GCCGCGCACAAAGGAGGCGGACGCGGCAGCCAUGCUGGGCCCGGGAGCCGCGGCUUCCCGCGGUCGCUCCUAAGAGGCCAGCGAGCCGUCGCCCCAGAGAGCUGUCGGCAGGUGGCUUGCGGUCACACGGCCGGAAUUCGAAACGCACGACCUGAGAGCCGGCGCUUGUCCAGAGCUAACCACGGUAAUAAAAGCCGUCGGUAGACCGGCCGCGGAUGAGAACGCCCUGAGCUCCCUGCGCCAGGCACCCUGCCGGCAGCUUCGCGGUCACGACCUCAUUUGAUCUUAACAGCGACCCUGAGAGAAUAGUAUUUUUAUUCAUUAACUUGUUGACUAAUUUCUAUUGAUUUGUUGAUUUGUAGUAAAUGUAUUUAUCAGAGGUGGAAAAUGGGGCACAGAGAUGUAAAGUCAUUUGAAAAGGUCACACGGCCAGAGAGCAGCAGAGCCGGGGUAGCUACAUGGAGCAAAAGGCUGGUGGGAGGCAGGUCGUUCUGCCCUCCCCUAUGUGUGCAAUAAUAGUAUUUCCAGGUACUUGAUCUAUCGCUCCCUGUCCUUAUAUCCCUGAUGACCAAACAACAAAGCAUUUGUGUGUCCGAAAGUUAAGGUGGUCCAUGUCUGGCCACACACACUUUCGUUCCAGAAGGAGACACCCUGCCCUGGCACCUUGAAAAUAUUCCUUCACCCCCUGAGCUGAGCAGCCUGCAGAGACAACAGGGGUGAGGUCAGGAAUCCUAGGCUCGGCCAACUGCCAUACAAUGACAAGAUGACGUUGGGCCUACGUGCUUAACAGGAGAGGACAGAAAGACACCCUCAUCACCCCCACUGUCAGAGGCAAAUCCCGCCCAAGACCUGAAUCUGAGUCCCACCACUGGAGCAAGGAGCCUGUGGUUUCACCAUCAGGGAGCAGCGAAAACCCAGGUGCUCAGGUCUCGGAGCUAGGGAGAGGGGAGGCCAAUAGCCCACCCACUCAAGAAUCACUUCUUUCCACUUGUCUGAGCAGAGUUGGGAAGGAGGGCCUCCGGAAACCAGCUGGAAGGGAGUUGGCUGGGGCUCCACUGUCACUGAUUUAUGAAGGCCUUUCAGGGCCAGAAUGACACCAUCCACCCUCAACCUACCUCCUGCUAAUUUAUAUUCUCAGAGCUUUAAAUCAUGGUGACAGCCCUGCAGGCACUUUGACCAGUCAAGGGCUUCCGGGGCCCCGCAGGCUGGCACGCUGUUCUCCUGGGCCCUGCACUUGACACCCCAACCUGCUCCAAACCACACUCCCAGUUCCUGCUCCCCUCUGGCUGUCUGCUCAAUCAGAUAAUCAGCAGAGCAGUGACUUUCUUUUCACUGACUGAGAAGCUCCUUCAACUGAAAAAAAAAAAAAAAAAAAAACUACCAAAGUUA